rnacentral:rRNA from 1 species
AAGUCGUAACAAGGUUUCCGUAGGUGAACCUGCGGAAGGAUCAUUACCUAGAGUUGUAGGCUUUGCCUGCUAUCUCUUACCCAUGUCUUUUAAGUACCUUCGUUUCCUCGGCGGGUUCGCCCGCCGAUUGGACAAUUUAAACCAUUUGCAGUUGCAAUCAGCGUCUGAAAAAACUUAAUAGUUACAACUUUCAACAACGGAUCUCUUGGUUCUGGCAUCGAUGAAGAACGCAGCGAAAUGCGAUAAGUAGUGUGAAUUGCAGAAUUCAGUGAAUCAUCGAAUCUUUGAACGCACAUUGCGCCCCUUGGUAUUCCAUGGGGCAUGCCUGUUCGAGCGUCAUUUGUACCUUCAAGCUCUGCUUGGUGUUGGGUGUUUGUCUCGCCUCUGCGUGUAGACUCGCCUCAAAACAAUUGGCAGCCGGCGUAUUGAUUUCGGAGCGCAGUACAUCUCGCGCUUUGCACUCAUAACGACGACGUCCAAAAGUACAUUUUUACACUCUUGACCUCGGAUCAGGUAGGGAUACCCGCUGAACUUAA